CAAAAUGUGCUUUGAGGUAGGAAGGGACCUCCUGUAGAGCGGCUUUGGCAUGUGGUCGACCCGCCCUGGGGUGGCUCCUUUUCCCUGUGUUGGCCUGGGGCCACUGCCCCUUCAUGUUUGGCUCACAUGGUCCAGAAGCAUCAGGGGUCUUUUAACCCAGAAUAGUCAAGCCUUGGUUUCCUUACCCCUGCAAUUUUCCAGAGCAGCUAAAAAACGUCCAAGCUGGCAAACCAUUCUUCCUACUCCAAACAUUAGGAGCUUUUACCAGUAAGCAAGGGGUGGGAAGCUUUUCCUUUCUUGAAGAUGCUGCCAGCAUAGUUUCCCUUGUAGCUGCCAUCCUGGGUGCAUGACUUGCAAAACUGAUAUGUGAGAGACAAUAAGACAGAUGGCCUUUGCAAAAGCUCUGCUUAUUUUGAUUUUUGUGGUUCCUUACAAAAGGCGAAGUGAGCAUUGAUCUUUGUUGGUGCUGUUGUAGCUCAAUGGCAACAUCACUGUGUUGUUUCCUCAUUUUAUUUUUCCUAAGACCUUUACCCAUUAUCUGCAGAUUUUCGCAUCUAAGCAAAAUAGGUUCAUAUGAGUCUAGUUACCUAGACAAUUAAUAAAAAAGAGCAAAAUGUUGAGUGACUAUGUCAUAGGUUACUUAUUGUUAAGUUACAACUUUGUAAGCAGCUUGCUUUGUAAAUUUUUCAUCCCCUGAUGGAUGCUGAUUUUAGAAGGUGAGAGAAGUGUUAGAAGGAUGUGAAUAUCGUUUUAUUUAUUGGCCAUAAUUAAGUGCCUUUGGGCUUUUGGGGUACAGGGUUAACCUACAGCUCAACAUUUAAAUCAAAUCCAACCAUAAAAUUCUCUUAAGUACAAAAAAACCAGAUGACCAACCUCAGGGAGAACCCAAGAAAAGCUGAGCUUUCCCGGCAUUGCUGUGCAGCAUUCUGAGAAUAUAGCUUGAUUUUUCUACAUCUUUGUACAGACAACAGUGGUACUGGGCCCUGUCUCUUGGGACAAGUUUCACUGUGAUUUUAAAUUUUUGUUUCAACUUGGAUUCUUCACGAUUGACCGUCAAGUCGAAAUCCUGGUUUUGACUUUCACUACUGUGGGAUGUGCAGAGCAAGUUUUCCACCAAAUUUUCAACGUCGUUCCCCUGGCUUGUUUAAUGAGAGCUUGGAUUUCAGUUUUACUCCAACACCUAAAUAGCCUGGGUCUCUACCAGCAUUGCCACUAGGGUUUUACUUCAUUUCAGCUUCCUGUGGGCAUUGGACACCCUGCACUCUGUAAGGGUAACAUGAAAGAUAGGCCCUUUUCUUACCCAAGCUGAUGUCUGAAGUACCCGUUUUCACAUGACUUGGAAUUAGGAAUCACCGUCAGAUAACACUGAGCUCUUCUGACUCACCCUUUGCACUUGGAGUUUUUGUUUUACUGUUUCCUUAACCUGUCACAGCCCCUUAAUUAGAAUGUAUUGCUAGAGGACAGGCUGCAUUGUCCAACUUUGUGCUGCACAUUUUAUAGAAACACACAAAAUCACCAGACAAGCAGCUGUAGUGUGAACUCAUCCAGAUGCGAUACUGAAAUUCCCCAGAGGGGCAUCUUCAUUGUUUUCUUUCUUUGUUCCAGAAGCAAAGGCCGAUAAUGAACCGAGCUGUUCGCCGGCAGCUCAAGAACUGUUGACAAGGCUGGGAUUUUUACUGGGAGAAGGGAUCCCAAGUGCCACACACAUAACCAUUGAAGACAAAAAUGAAACCAUGUGCACAGCUCUGAGUCAAGGCAUCAGUCCUUGCUCCACACUAACAAGCAGCACCGCAUCUCCUAGCACCGAUAGCCCCUGCUCAACCUUGAAUAGCUGUGUCAGCAAGACGGCAGCCAACAAAAGUCCCUGUGAGACCAUUAGCAGCCCUAGUUCCACCCUGGAAAGCAAGGACAGUGGAAUUAUAGGUAAGAAGCACACUGCUCGGUAAUGUAAUGGCUCGAAGCUCAACCAGAGCAUUCACCAGGCACUUCCUCAGAGGGUUUUAGCAUGGUCUGUGAAGGUCAGUCCGCCAGCGCCUGCUCUGUUCUUUGCAGGUGGCACUGACUCCAUGUGUAGCUGAGAGAAUGGAGCAUUGGCUUUUACAUUCCUUGAUGUUUACUUUAUAACAGUCAGCUCAUUUGUU
rnacentral:sRNA from 1 species